AUGGAAACGGGUGAGUAACACGUGGGUGACCUACCUCAAAGUGGGGAACAACAGACCGAAAGGUUUGCUAAUACCGCAUUAGCUCGGUUCAAUUAAAGCCCCGCUUUGAGAGGGGCCCGCGUCCCAUCAGGUAGUUGGUGAGGUAAUAGCCCACCAAGCCGAUGACGGGUAGCUGGUCUGAGAGGACGAUCAGCCACAAUGGAACUGAUAUACGGUCCAUACUCCUACGGGAGGCAGCAGUGAGGAAUAUUGGGCAAUGGGGGCAACCCUGACCCAGCGACGCCGCGUGGGUGACGAAGGCCUUCGGGUCGUAAAACCCUUUUGGCAGGGACGAGGGACGGUACCUGUCGAAUAAGUCUCGGCUAACUACGUGCCAGCAGCCGCGGUAAAACGUAGGAGGCGAGCGUUAUCCGGAUUUACUGGGCGUAAAGCGCGCGUAGGCGGUUGGGUAAGUCUGACGUGAAAGCCCCUGGCUCAACUGGGGGAGGCCGUUGGAUAC
rnacentral:rRNA from 1 species